UACGAAGGGAGCUAGCGUUGUUCGGAAUCACUGGGCGUAAAGCGCACGUAGGCGGAUUUGCCAGUCAGGGGUGAAAUCCCGGGGCUCAACCUCGGAACUGCCUUUGAUACAGCAAGUCUUGAGUUCGAGAGAGGUGGGUGGAAUUCCUAGUGUAGAGGUGAAAUUCGUAGAUAUUAGGAAGAACACCGGUGGCGAAGGCGGCUCACUGGUCCGGUACUGACACUGAGGUGCGAAAGCGUGGGGAGCAAACAGG
rnacentral:rRNA from 1 species